rnacentral:rRNA from 1 species
GCAUGCCUUCACAUGCAAGUCGAACGGCAGCACGGGGGCAACCCUGGUGGCGAGUGGCGAACGGGUGAGUAAUACAUCGGAACGUGUCCUGUAGUGGGGGAUAGCCCGGCGAAAGCCGGAUUAAUACCGCAUACGCUCUACGGAGGAAAGGGGGGGAUCUUAGGACCUCUCGCUACAGGGGCGGCCGAUGGCAGAUUANCUAGUUGGUGGGGUAAAGGCCUACCAAGGCGACGAUCUGUAGCUGGUCUGAGAGGACGACCAGCCACACUGGGACUGAGACACGGUCCACACUGGAUUUAGAUACCCUUGGUAGUCCACCGCCCUAAAACGAUGUCAACUAGUUGUUCGGGUCUUCAUUGAAUUUGGUAAACGUAGCUAAACGCGUGAAGUUGACCGCCUGGGGAGUACGGUCGCAAAGAUUAAAACUCAAAGGAAUUGACGGGGACCCGCACAAGCGGUGGAUGAUGUGGAUUAAUUCGAUGCAACGCGAAAAACCUUACCUACCCUUGACAUGGAUGGAACCUGGCUGAAAGGUCGGGGUGCUGGAAAGAGAACUGAUACACAGGUGAAGCAUGGCUGUCGUCAGCU